rnacentral:rRNA from 1 species
UAAUUUUAUAUAAGAUUGAUUCUGUCUUUAAUUAAUUGGUUAAUUUAUAAUAUUAGAUAUAAGUUUUUGCGAGUGAUUAUUUAUCUAAAAGAUAAUUUUAUUUUAAUUGUAGUUUUUGAUUUUGUUAAAUCACAUAAUUGUGGAUUCAGUUAAAUUAUUUAGAACUGUUCAAAGUUGUGCCAGCAAACGCGGUUAUACAUCUGGUUCAAAUCAAUUUUUUUGGUAAUUAUUUAUUUUGUACUUUUGAGUUUUAUUUUAUUUAUUGAGGUGAAAUUUUUAAAAUAAAUUAUAUUUUCUAGGUUUAAGAUUAUAAGAAGUUUAGAAAAUAAACUAGGAUUAGAUACCCUAUUAUUCUAAAUGUAAAAGUUUGACCAUAAAAUUAAUAGUUAUGAUCUUUAAAUUAAAAGAAUUUGGCGGUAAUUUAGUCUUUUCAGAGGAACCUGU